rnacentral:rRNA from 1 species
UGUCCUACGGGGGGCCGCAGUAGGGCUUCUUCGGUUUUUGGCGCAAGCCUGAACGAGCAAUGCCGCGUGAGUGAGGAAGGUCUUCGGAUCGUAAAGCUCUGUUGCGGGGGAAAAAGGAAGCAGAAAGGAAAUGGUCUGCUUUUGAUGGUACCCCGCCAGAAAGUCACGGCUAACUACGUGCCAGCAGCCGCGGUAAUACGUAGGUGGCGAGCGUUAUCCGGAAUGAUUGGGCGUAAAGGGUGCGCAGGCGGCGCGUCAAGUCUGAAGUAAAAGGUACAGGCUCAACCUGUGCAGGCUUUGGAAAC